GUCCUUCGGGACGGAGAGAGCGGCGUACGGGUGCGGAACACGUGUGCAACCUGCCUUUAUCUGGGGGAUAGCCUUUCGAAAGGAAGAUUAAUACCCCAUAACAUAUGAUACGGCAUCGUAUUAUAUUGAAAACUCCGGUGGAUAGAGAUGGGCACGCGCAAGAUUAGAUAGUUGGUGAGGUAACGGCUCACCAAGUCAGUGAUCUUUAGGGGGCCUGAGAGGGUGAUCCCCCACACUGGUACUGAGACACGGACCAGACUCCUACGGGAGGCAGCAGUGAGGAAUAUUGGACAAUGGGUGAGAGCCUGAUCCAGCCAUCCCGCGUGAAGGACUAAGGCCCUAUGGGUUGUAAACUUCUUUUAUACUGGGAUAAACCUACUUACGUGUAAGUAGCUGAAGGUACAGUAUGAAUAAGCACCGGCUAACUCCGUGCCAGCAGCCGCGGUAAUACGGAGGGUGCAAGCGUUAUCCGGAUUUAUUGGGUUUAAAGGGUCCGUAGGCGGAUCCGUAAGUCAGUGGUGAAAUCUCAUAGCUUAACUAUGAAACUGCCAUUGAUACUGCGGGUCUUGAGUGAGAUUGAGGUAGCUGGAAUAAGUAGUGUAGCGGUGAAAUGCAUAGAUAUUACUUAGAACACCAAUUGCGAAGGCAGGUUACCAAGUCUUAACUGACGCUGAGGGACGAAAGCGUG
rnacentral:rRNA from 1 species